rnacentral:rRNA from 1 species
UACGUAGGGGGCUAGCGUUGUCCGGAUUUAUUGGGCGUAAAGAGCGUGUAGGCGGCCAGGUAGGUCUGCUGUGAAAACUCGAGGCUCAACCUCGAGACGUCGGCGGAAACCAUCUGGCUAGAGUCCGGAAGAGGAGAGUGGAAUUCCUGGUGUAGCGGUGAAAUGCGCAGAUAUCAGGAGGAACACCAAUUGCGAAGGCAGCUCGCUGGGACGUUACUGACGCUGAGACGCGAAAGCGUGGGGAGCAAACAGG